CCAGGCAAAUCCGGAUAAUCAAGGCUGAGGUGUGAUGACGAGGCACUACGGUGCUGAAGUAACAAAUGCCCUGCUUCCAGGAAAAGCCUCUAAGCAUCAGGUAACAUCAAAUCGUACCCCAAACCGACACAGGUGGUCAGGUAGAGAAUACCAAGGCGCUUGAGAGAACUCGGGUGAAGGAACUAGGCAAAAUGGUGCCGUAACUUCGGGAGAAGGCACGCUGGUGUGUAGGUGAA
rnacentral:rRNA from 1 species